GUGUAUACACCUCAGUAUCUCCAGUGUACAGUGUGGAUUCUCCAGUCCAGAAGAGAGCAGCUGCACUCCUGA